CAGGUUUUCAGACUGUACUCGACUAUCAGCUUUGCUGCGGUGAAUACGUUCCCGGGCCUUGUACACGACCGCCAAUCUGGGACAAGCCCUGGAAACGGGGUCUAAUACCGGAUACUGACCUUCACGGGCAUCUGUGAAGGUCGAAAGCUCCGGCGGUGCAGGAUGAGCCCGCGGCCUAUCAGCUUGUUGGUGAGGUAAUGGCUCACCAAGGCGACGACGGGUAGCCGGCCUGAGAGGGCGACCGGCCACACUGGGACUGAGACACGGCCCAGACUCCUACGGGAGGCAGCAGUGGGGAAUAUUGCACAAUGGGCGAAAGCCUGAUGCAGCGACGCCGCGUGAGGGAUGACGGCCUUCGGGUUGUAAACCUCUUUCAGCAGGGAAGAAGCGAAAGUGACGGUACCUGCAGAAGAAGCGCCGGCUAACUACGUGCCAGCAGCCGCGGUAAUACGUAGGGCGCAAGCGUUGUCCGGAAUUAUUGGGCGUAAAGAGCUCGUAGGCGGCUUGUCACGUCGGUUGUGAAAGCCCGGGGCUUAACCCCGGGUCUGCAGUCGAUACGGGCAGGCUAGAGUUCGGUAGGGGAGAUCGGAAUUCCUGGUGUAGCGGUGAAAUGCGCAGAUAUCAGGAGGAACACCGGUGGCGAAGGCGGAUCUCUGGGCCGAUACUGACGCUGAGGAGCGAAAGCGUGGGGAGCGAACAGGAUUAGAUACCCUGGUAGUCCACGCCGUACACGGUGGGCACUAGGUGUGGGCAACAUUCCACGUUGUCCGUGCCGCAGCUAACGCAUUAAGUGCCCCGCCUGGGGAGUACGUCCGCAAGGCUUAAGACUCAAACGAAUUGACGGGGGCCCGCACAAGCGGCGAAGCAUGUGGCUUAAUUCGACGCAACGCGAAGAACCUUACCAAGGCUUGACAUACACCGGAAACGUCCAGAGAUGGGCGCCCCCUUGUGGUCGGUGUACAGGUGGUGCAUGGCUGUCGUCAGCUCGUGUCGUGAGAUGUUGGGUUAAGUCCCGCAACGAGCGCAACCCUUGUCCCGUGUUGCCAGCAGGCCCUUGUGGUGCUGGGGACUCACGGGAGACCGCCGGGGUCAACUCGGAGGAAGGUGGGGACGACGUCAAGUCAUCAUGCCCCUUAUGUCUUGGGCUGCACACGUGCUACAAUGGCCGGUACAAUGAGCUGCGAUACCGCAAGGUGGAGCGAAUCUCAAAAAGCCGGUCUCAGUUCGGAUUGGGGUCUCAGGCCUAACACAUGCAAGUCGGAGUCGCUAGUAUCGCAGAUCAGCUUGCGUGCACUCAUCAGG
rnacentral:rRNA from 1 species